GGGCGGAUAGUUCAGUCUGGUAGAACACUCGGUUGGCAAUCGAGUGGCCCCGGGUUCAAAACAACGGAUACCCGUUGACGGCUAACGUCAGCAGGAUAUUUGCUUUGCAAAAUCCUGCGUAGUGGCUUGAAAUGGUAUUCGCUGGUGAAAGUCCCGGUCCGUCCA
rnacentral:tRNA from 1 species